rnacentral:misc_RNA from 1 species
UCCGGCUUGACGCCGGCAGUCCCCCGAGAGUCCUCAGCUUUACCUGUUAGUAACACGGGGCAAGGGUUGCGCUCGUUGCGGGACUUAACCCAACAUCUCACGACACGAGCUGACGACAGCCAUGCACCACCUGUGCACUGGCCCCGAAAGGCUGCCGUAUUUCUACGACAUUCCAGUGCAUGUCAAGCCCUGGUAAGGUUCUUCGCGUUGCGUCGAAUUAAACCACAUGCUCCACCGCUUGUGCGGGCCCCCGUCAAUUCCUUUGAGUUUCAGCCUUGCGGCCGUAGUCCCCAGGCGGGGUACUUAAUGCGUUAGCUUCGGCACGGGGGGGGUCGAUACCCCCUACACCUAGUACCCAUCGUUUACAGCGUGGACUAC